rnacentral:rRNA from 1 species
AAUCUUCCCCAAUGGGCGCAAGCCUGAGGGAGCAACGCCGCGUGAGUGAUGACGGCCUUCGGGUUGUAAAGCUCUGUGCGGAGGGACGAGACCGGGCGCGGGAGACCGCGGUCGGGCGACGGUACCUUCGGAGCAAGCCCCUGCUAACUACGUGCCAGCAGCCGCGGUAAGACGUAGGGGGCAAGCGUUGUCCGGAAUGACUGGGCGUAAAGGGCGUGUAGGCGGUGCGGUACGUGGCGUCGGAAAGGCGGCGGCUUAACCGGCGCAGGGGCGCCAAACGGCCGGACUGGAGGGCAGGAGAGGUGCGCGGAAUUCCCGGUGGAGCGGUGAAAUGCGUAGAGAUCGGGAAGAACACCCGUGGCGCAGGCGGCGCACUGGCCUGGCCCUGACGCUGAGGCGCGACAGCGUGGGGAGCGA